rnacentral:rRNA from 1 species
UACGGGGGGGGCAAGCGUUGUUCGGAAUUACUGGGCGUAAAGGGUUCGUAGGUGGCUUGCUAAGUCACACGUGAAAUCCCUCAGCUUAACUGGGGAACUGCGUGUGAGACUGGCGAGCUUGAGUGCAGGAGAGGAACGCGGAAUUCCAGGUGUAGCGGUGAAAUGCGUAGAUAUCUGGAGGAACGCCGGUGGCGAAGGCGGCGUUCUGGACUGCAACUGACACUGAGGAACGAAAGCCAGGGGAGCAAACGG